CGCUUCCCACCUCACCGAACCGUCCGCAAUCUCCGUCUCCUGGCCCCGCGUCGUUGCGUCCGCGCUCUCCUCCUGCCCCGCGCCGUUGCGUCCGUAAUCUCCUCCUCCAGCCACGCCGUUGCUCUCGCGCUCCGCUGCUCUCGCGGAAUCACUCGCGGAAUCACUGCUCCGCUGCUCUAUCCGCCAUCAGAUUUCUGGAGUAGUCAUGGAAGGUGCCGCUCUUGAUUUCUAAACAGUGCGCCACCAAUGGCGCCUGAGCCCCCGCCACCAUUUCAUCCCCUUCCCGCCCAGUGUACACACCCUACCUCGCCCCGCGUCUAGAUGCACGCGUGCCCGCGGAUGUCUCUGGUGCCCCCGCUCCCAUCCUCCUCGCGUCCCAUCCCCGUCGGCACGGGCGCACGACCCCCAUCCUCGAUGUCGUCCUAGCUGCUGCGUGUGCAUCUCCACGCGAACCCCUACCAUCCUCGACGUCGUCCCAGUUGCGGCUGUCGCAUCUCCGUGUGCAUCUCCACCCAAACAUGCAAGGUCACCGGGGGCCCAAACCUCAGGAGCAGCGCCGCCCGCGGAUCGUGUGGAUUCCUGUCGCGUCUGCCUCGGCGAGGCCUGCCGAGGGAUACGACAACGAGGAUUAUCCAUGUCGGGGCCGGUCGCUUUGCCUCCCUGCUGGCCGUCUCUGCCCCGCCAGCUCCGCCUUAACGCCGGAUUUCUCCGUGUCUGCCUCCGCAUCAGGGCACGCCACGCGCAUCGCCUCGGCGGUGGGCCGCGUUGCUCUCUCUACCUUGUCGCAGCACCCUUGGAGGACGGCUACACUGGCAUGGAGGUUCAUGUGCGUCUGCUUGGUCGAGCGAGCUCCCCAUCUUUCUCCGUCAACCCCGUCGUCCAUUUUGCCCCACCACGCCACGCAAUACGCAGUUGAAGAUGAGACCCAGGUGGUGGCGCUGAAGCGACUAUCGCGGCAUCACGGCUCGAACGUGAUGACGAUUUGGCGUUCUUCCCUAUGGGCCGAUCCCUCUGGUCAUCUUCUCGCCGCACUGGCGAUGGAGCCGGGCUUGCCGCGCCUGGUGGUUCUCGUCCGCCCACGGCCCCCGAUUAGCAUGAGCCUCCGCGCCAGUAUCAUUGGUCUUCCUAAUGUUGGCAAGUCAAACCUCUUCAACGCCAUUGUUGUCCGAUGCUUUGAGGAUGACGAUAUAGUUCAUGUCAAUGGAAGGGUCGAGCCCGGAUCAGACAUUGAUGUCAUUAACCUAGAGCUGAUAUUUUCAGAUCUUUAACAGGCGUGACUGCGCCACAAGCAGCUGGAGUUAUUCAUAGCGACUUUCAGAAAGGAUUUAUUAGAGUUGAAACUGUAUCCUACGAUGAUUUUGUUGCAGCUGGUUUUCUUGGAGUAGCAAGGGAGAAAGGACUGGAAAAAUUUCAAAAACAUCGAGUCAAGAAGUUUUGGCAGCACUUUCAUUUCAUCCUUAUUGCAGUGCCUCGACAGUAGACAUAAUUAAGUUCUGUCCAUGAGUGGGAUUUGGGGCUUUGGUUGGCUUGCGUGCCCACUCGGUAAUCACCAUGAAGCAGAGGAUGGACCGUGUCAUCUGGAGCAGCAACAGCAACAGAGUGUGGGCUAUCCAUUUGUUGUAGAUGAAUUAUGCGAUUUACAUGCACAAUUCUUUGCAUAAAUAAAAUAUAGUACACACUAAUUCAACUCAAUUUUAUCUCAAUUCUCAUCGGUUUAAUCUCU